ACCCUUAUGGUACAGUGGUAGUAUGCUUUGCUUUUGUGGAUGGGGCAACUUGUAUAUAGUCCAUGUGGCAAGUUGUCUGGUUUAGUAUUAAAGAGGUUGGGGGUUUAAUUCCUCCUGGGGGUA